rnacentral:rRNA from 1 species
AGAGUUUGAUCCUGGCUCAGAUUGAACGCUGGCGGAACGCUUUACACAUGCAAGUCGAACGGUAACGCGGAGAGAAGCUUGCUUCUCUCCGGCGACGAGUGGCGAACGGGUGAGUAAUACAUCGGAACGUGUCCGCUCGUGGGGGACAACCAGCCGAAAGGUUGGCUAAUACCGCAUGAGUUCUACGGAAGAAAGAGGGGGACCCGCAAGGGCCUCUCGCGAGCGGAGCGGCCGAUGACUGAUUAGCCGGUUGGUGAGGUAACGGCUCACCAAAGCAACGAUCAGUAGCUGGUCUGAGAGGACGACCAGCCACACUGGGACUGAGACACGGCCCAGACUCCUACGGGAGGCAGCAGUGGGGAAUUUUGGACAAUGGGCGCAAGCCUGAUCCAGCUAUUCCGCGUGUGGGAUGAAGGCCCUCGGGUUGUAAACCACUUUUGUAGAGAACGAAAAGACACCUUCGAAUAAAGGGUGUUGCUGACGGUACUCUAAGAAUAAGCACCGGCUAACUACGUGCCAGCAGCCGCGGUAAUACGUAGGGUGCGAGCGUUAAUCGGAAUUACUGGGCGUAAAGGGUGCGCAGGCGGUUGAGUAAGACAGAUGUGAAAUCCCCGAGCUUAACUCGGGAAUGGCAUAUGUGACUGCUCGACUAGAGUGUGUCAGAGGGAGGCGGAAUUCCACGUGUAGCAGUGAAAUGCGUAGAUAUGUGGAAGAACACCGAUGGCGAAGGCAGCCUCCUGGGACAUAACUGACGCUCAGGCACGAAAGCGUGGGGAGCAAACAGGAUUAGAUACCCUGGUAGUCCACGCCCUAAACGAUGUUAACUAGUUGUUGGGAAGUAAUAUUCUCAGUAACGCAGCCAACGCGAGAAGUUAACCGCCUGGGAAGUACGGUCGCAAGACUAAAACUCAAAGGAAUUGACGGGGACCCGCACAAGCGGUGGAUGAUGUGGAUUAAUUCGAUGCAACGCGAAAAACCUUACCUACCCUUGACAUGUCAGGAAGCUCUUGUAAUGAGAGUGUGCCCGCAAGGGAGCCUGAACACAGGUGCUGCAUGGCUGUCGUCAGCUCGUGUCGUUAGAUGUUGGGUUAAGUCCCGCAACGAGCGCAACCCUUGUCACUAGUUGCUACGAAAGGGCACUCUAGUGAGACUGCCGGUGACAAACCGGAGGAAGGUGGGGAUGACGUCAAGUCCUCAUGGCCCUUAUGGGUAGGGCUUCACACGUCAUACAAUGGUCGGAACAGAGGGCAGCGAAGUCGUGAGACGGAGCCAAUCCCAGAAAACCGAUCGUAGUCCGGAUUGCAGUCUGCAACUCGACUGCAUGAAGUCGGAAUCGCUAGUAAUCGCGGAUCAGCAUGCCGCGGUGAAUACGUUCCCGGGUCUUGUACACACCGCCCGUCAAACAAUGGGAGUGGUGUUUACCAGAAGUCGUUAGCCUAACCGUAAGGAGGGCGGCGACCACGGUGAGCACCGUGACUAAUGUUAAGUCGUAACAAGGUA